UGUGUUUAUAUAGACAGCAGGACGGUGGCCAUGGAAGUCGGAAUCCGCUAAGGAGUGUGUAACAACUCACCUGCUGAAUCAACUAGCCCUGAAAAUGGAUGGGGCUGGAGCGUCGGGCCCAUACCCGGCCGUCGCGGGCAGUCGAGAGUGGACGGGAGCGGCGAGGGCGGUGCGCGUGUGGAGUGGGGGUCCUCCCCAUUCCCCGGAGCCCCGCAGACGCUACGCCGCGACGAGUAGGAGGGCCGCUGCGGUGAGCCAUGAAGCCUAGGGCGUGGGCCCGGGUGGAGCCGCCCCAGGUGC